UACGUAGGGACCGAGCGUUGUCCGGAUUCAUUGGGCGUAAAGAGCUCGUAGGCGGCUGUCCAAGUCGAACGUGAAAACCCGGAGCUCAACUCCGGGCCUGCAGUCGAUACGGGCGGACUUGAGUGUUGCAGGGGAGACUGGAAUUCCUGGUGUAGCGGUGAAAUGCGCAGAUAUCAGGAGGAACACCGGUGGCGAAGGCGGGUCUCUGGGCAACUACUGACGCUGAGGAGCGAAAGCGUGGGGAGCGAACAGG
rnacentral:rRNA from 1 species